GGCGGGGCCGGCCCCAGAAGGUGGGUUCAUUUCCGGCCCGCGCGGCGCGCUGGAGCGGUGGUGGCGGUGCGGGGCCUUCGCCGGGAGCCUGGAAGACUUUUGGGCAGGGAUGUGCAGCGGUGCGCUGGGUUCAUCCGGAAUUGUACGUUGACAGAUCAAGGGGAGCUAAACUGAAGGGUGUGGGAAGGCCAGAGAGAUUGGAAGCCUCAGCUGUUGUGUGCAGAGAAGCUGUCAGCCUUCUAAGAGAGCAUGUAGCCAGCAAACGCAUCGUGGUGCUUCAGUACCAAGCUGAUACCACAGGCCUCCAUCUUUUUGUGAAAAGGGAUCACAAGAAAAUGUGCUGAUGUUGAAGGGGGAAAGGUGGCAGGGGAAGAGAUUUGAGCAUCUAUGCCAUGGACGUAGCAGGAGAACAGCAGCUGGAUGUAGAGCACAAGCAGUUUAAACAGCACUUGGAUAAAGCUGCCAAUCGUGUGACUCCAGAAGCCAACAGACACUGUAAGAUGCUAUUCUGCCAUUCUUGGAUGGAUGCUCUCAUAGCCUUUCCAUCACCAUAUGCCUGCUAUGAUAUUCAUGGGAACAAGGGACAUCUGAAUUCACAGCAUUUUAAACACCACAAACUCUUGAAGAGUUUAUAGGACACAAAUCUAUUACACUGGCAGAUCAGACAAGCUCCUCUGUGUGUGUGUGUGUAUAUAUAUUAUACUCAGUACUGUUGCGAGGCAAGUCUUUGCCUGGUCCCUCUGAAAUUGGGACGAGGACUCAUUGAUGCAUUUCAGGAGCAAAGCUGCUGAGUGAACAGGCUUUUCCUACUAGAAAUCAAGCAGCUGGUCUGGCAAAAAUUGACUUUGGUUGCAUCUUUAAAUCCUAGGAGGCUGACAAAUGGGAUGAGCUGGUUAAAGAGCCUCUCUCCAGGGAAGACUCCACUGACUUGACCCUUAAGCCUAAACUUGUUUCUUACUACGUUUGCUUUGUGUGUGUUAAUGCAUACCCGAUUCAUAGGUUUGAGUUGAUUGAUCAGUUACAACUUGUGAGUAAGUGGUCCUUGGCUACAUAAACCUCUCCUCUGCUUUUUUUUACAUGUUAUGACUUACUGUUGUACUUCAAUACAAACCAGGAACAAUUCUGGUAGUUUUGCAAUCUAACAGUAAUACUGUCCCAACUUUGUCUUUCUAACACGUGAGGUCCUUAUUUUCUGUUCUGGGAGAUAGUGUAGUUCUGUGUAUUGGCAUGAACUAAACUUGCUGAUUUGUUGUAACUCAGAUUUAACUUUUCUGUGCUGAAAGGCUAAACUAAGCCUAGAGCUGAACAGUGGGUAGGUAUGAGAGCUUCUCCUGUUGUCACAGAAGUGAGGUGAUAGCGUUCUUACUGUUGUGUCACUUAGCAGCCUUUUUGUAUUCAGAGGCUGUGGUGUGGUGAAUGUAAUGUCUGAGGUCAAACCCUGCUUUUCUGUAUCUAAUUCUCUGUUACCACAUGUAGGCCUCCUGCCUUACUUGUGUCGCCAGCCUCCACUGGGAUUACUCUGUCUGAACAGGUUGCUCUUGCUCCUUAUAUUAUCAAGGGAGAGUAAGAGAAACUUGCAGGGAGCAAACAGUCUCAUCCAGGAGAGGCAUUUUGAAAGCGAUCAAAUUGCAUUGCAUGCAACGAGCAAUUUCUUCUGCUGUCUGGAAAAAGUAUAUGGCUAGUUUGAUUUCCAGCACCAGUGUGACUAGUUGGAUUGGAUGUGUCCACACAUCAGUUUCUGUUAGUAACACUUGAUGUUCAGACAGUUAUUUAAAUGGCAACUAUAGCAGUAUUGACUGGUAAAGGAAAAAUGCACGCAGAUGUGGUUACCGCUGGGCUUGCUUUAGUCACGACUCAGAGCUGGGCCACCACCCCAGCGAGUGGCAGAGAACCAAGCGAUACAGCACAGCUUAUAUACACUUACCAGAUCAUUAGUCAAUGUCUGAAGUUUUUAGGAGUUUCCUUGGUCCUGUUGGUUCUGUGAAUCCAUCACCUGACUGUCCCAGUUGAUUCACCUGCUCAGUUCCAGUCUCUGCCUCUGUUCCAGGCUCUUCCUUGUGUCACUGAAAUCUCAGAAUGAAGAACUUGUUGACACCAAUGUGAUGUAGAUAAGCAGACGCUUCUUUAUUGACAGCCAGGUGUGUGAGUGAGUCUCCUCACGAUCAAUGCACACCAAGUUUCAAAAUCAUACAUCUUAUAUAUAACUUAUUCAUGCAUAAUCAUAGUGUUUCCUGAAAAUCAUUAACAUAGUCUCCUCCCAUAUCCAAUUCUGCACAGUAAAGGUUAGAAAGGUCCAGAAAUGGGUCUGGGGUAUGAUUUGGGUAGGUGGUAUAUGAGUCAGUGGUCGCAAUCUCCCCCUGCCAGAAUUACCUUUUACUAAAGUUCACAGUUUCUUGGCAGGUAACUACAGGUUGUUCCAGUUGACUCUCCCCAGUUCCCAUUAAUUCUAUAUUCUGACACUUCAAUACACUUUCUACAUACAGAAGACUAGUCAAAUACAAAGAAAUCUGUAAAAUCCCAAAUUUGUUACCUAAGUUUUAAGCAAUGAUUCUAGCCCAUUCUUCUGGCCUUGGUACAGGGCUGUACAAAGGAUUUCAUAGCAGCUUUUGCUGUGCAACUACAAGUUUCACUAAAAUAUAUUUCUUAUUCCAAAUGAUUUUAUAAAAUCAAAUAAAGUCAAUUAAUUCUAA